GUAUGGUUUACUAGAUAGAGUCUAAAUUCUAGCCCCAACUUUAUCUUUAAUUAAUAUUUAUGCUAUUUUGGACAAGGCCCUUCAGCCCUCUGAGCUUCAGGCUCUUGUUCAUAGCAUGAUGUCUUUCCUACCCACUCCACUAUAUUGUUGUGAAGAUAAUAGAAAAUAUUAGAAAAUACUUUGAAAAAGCAGUUUUACAUUCCUAAAAAGGCAGGGCAUAAUAAUACAUUUUUAAAAAGAAAAAUAAUUAAGAUACCCACUAAUAUAGUCAGAUGCAAACAACAAAAAUGGAUAAAUAUUUACAUCAUAAGAUGUAAUCAUGAGAACACAUAUGCAAAGCCAACUCACACCUUCACCAUGACCAAAUCCCCUGAAGUCCAUUCAUGUUGUCCCCUGGGCUUUUCCUCACCAAGUGAUACAUCUUACACAUUGUGACUUGGGCACUGCUCUGCUGCUUUUUCCCUCUUCAGAGCACUUGUUCAACUGAGCUCACUCAGCUGGUUCUCUAUGGGGCACACUGUUCUGUAAACAGGUUACAGACUCCAUCACCUUUGGAUUCUGACUAAGCUGAAAAUUCUCUGCUGGGGCAUUUAGUAGGCUAUUUCAAAAAUAACUAGAAUGUUUAAUCUAGCACCAGCAGAAAGCUUCCCUAGCUCUGCUCCUUAGGAUCUCAGCUAUAGAACUGCUAUCUCCGGAGGGAAAGCAUUUUAGCUUCAGUCACCAAAUUCUCUCUCUCUGAACCCUUCCCAAAAGGAUGGAUGAAGUUCAGGUGCCCAUCUCCUCUCAAGCUACUCUCAAGUAUAUUUUUCCUCAAAGUGGUUCUUCAGUAUUCAAUCGAUGCUAAUGGAGGGAAGGUAAGGGAGGGAAAACCCUUUUCUUUCUUUUUUUUUUUUUUCAGUGAAUUCUGCAAGAAGUACAAGCAAAUCUUCAAGAGCUGAACUUGUCUUCAUACCUGGCUCUCUUCUCAUGAUUCAAUCAGGGGAAGAUGCUGAGGGAAGUUUGGAAGCUAGCAGAAGAAGCUAUAGUCACUGAUUUCUGUUAGUGUGGAGAUGCGCAAAGCAAACUCACCAUCAUCUCCAUAGUGGAAUCCUACAGAUCAUAGGCAGCUAUGUGAUAGAGUGAAAAGAGUGCUAGACCUGGAGUCAGGAAGAACUGAUUUCAAAUAUGGUCUCAGAUAUUAACUAGCUGUGUGAACAAGGGCAAGUCACUUAACCCUGCUUGCCUCAGUUUCCUCAUCUGCAAAAUGAGCUGGAGAAGGAAACGGCAAACCACUUCAGUAUCUUUGCUUAAAAAAACCCAAAAGGGAUUACAAAGAUCAGACAUGACAGAAAAACAACUGAACUGAAGAAUACAGGACAUGUGUCUUAGACAUCAAUAAACAACAGAGGAACCUG